rnacentral:rRNA from 1 species
AAAUUUAAUUAAAUUAUGUUUGUUUACCAGAGUACUACGAAUAAAACUAUUUAAAACUUAAAGGGCUUGGCGGUGCUUUAGACUUCUCAGGGGAACCUGUCUCGUAAUCGAUGAUCCGCGAAUCAACCUCACUUUCUCUUGUGAUCAGUAUGUAUACCGUCGUCGCCAGGUAACUUUUAAGAAUAUAAAAGUUAGCGAGGAAAACUUUAAAGUUUUUAUGUCAGAUCAAGGUGCAACUUACGGGAAAGAGUGGAUGGGUUACAAUUAAUAUUUAUAACUACGGAUAUUAGUUUGAAAUAAUUAGUUGAAGGAGGACUUGAAAGUAUGAAUUAGCAUAUAGAUUUUUUGAAUUUAGCUCUGAAGUG